rnacentral:rRNA from 1 species
GACGAACGCUGGCGGCGUGCCCAACACAUGCAAGUCGAACGAGAAUCUAUGGAAAGAGGUUUCGGCCAAUUGAAAUAGAGGACAGUGGCGGACGGGUGAGUAACGCGUGAGCAACCUGCCCUUCAGAGGGGGACAACAGAGGGAAACUUCUGCUAAUACCGCAUGACAUAUCCGGGAGGCAUCUUCUGGAUAUCAAAGAUUUAUCGCUGAAGGAUGGGCUCGCGUCUGAUUAGCUAGUUGGUGAGGUAACGGCUCACCAAGGCGACGAUCAGUAGCCGGACUGAGAGGUUGAACGGCCACAUUGGGACUGAGAUACGGCCCAGACUCCUACGGGAGGCAGCAGUGGGGAAUAUUGGGCAAUGGGCGCAAGCCUGACCCAGCAACGCCGCGUGAAGGAAGAAGGCUUUCGGGUUGUAAACUUCUUUUAUCAGGGACGAAGGAUGUGACGGUACCCGAUGAAUAAGCCACGGCUAACUACGUGCCAGCCGCCGCAGUAAAAC